GACGAACGCUGGCGGCGUGCUUAACACAUGCAAGUCGAACGGAAAGGCCCUGCUUUUGUGGGGUGCUCGAGUGGCGAACGGGUGAGUAACACGUGAGUAACCUGCCCUUGACUUUGGGAUAACUUCAGGAAACUGGGGCUAAUACCGGAUAGGAGCUCCUGCUGCAUGGUGGGGGGUGGAAAGUUUCGGCGGUUGGGGAUGGACUCGCGGCUGAUCAGCUUGUUGGUGGGGUAGUGGCUUACCAAGGCUUUGACGGGUAGCCGGCCUGAGAGGGUGACCGGCCACAUUGGGACUGCGAUACGGCCCAGACUCCUACGGGAGGCAGCAGUGGGGAAUAUUGCACAAUGGGCGGAAGCCUGAUGCAGCAACGCCGCGUGCGGGAUGACGGCCUUCGGGUUGUAAACCGCUUUCGCCUGUGACGAAGCGUGAGUGACGGUAAUGGGUAAAGAAGCACCGGCUAACUACGUG
rnacentral:rRNA from 1 species